GACGAACGCUGGCGGCGUGCUUAACACAUGCAAGUCGAACGGUAAGGCCCUUCGGGGUACACGAGUGGCGAACGGGUGAGUAACACGUGGGUGAUCUGCCCUGCACUUCGGGAUAAGCCUGGGAAACUGGGUCUAAUACCGGAUAGGACCACUGCCUGCAUGGGUGGUGGUGGAAAGCUUUUGCGGUGUGGGAUGGGCCCGCGGCCUAUCAGCUUGUUGGUGGGGUGAUGGCCUACCAAGGCGACGACGGGUAGCCGGCCUGAGAGGGUAACCGGGCACACUGGGACUGCGGUACGGCCCAGACUCCUACAGGGGGCAGCAGUGGGGAAUAUUGCACAAUGGGCGCAAGCCUGAUGCAGAGACGCCGCGUGAGGGAAGACGGCCUUCGGGUUGUAAACCUCUUUCAGCACCGACGAAGCGCAAGUGACGGUAGGUGCAGAAGAAGGACCGGCCAACUACGUGCCAGCCGCCGCGGUAA
rnacentral:rRNA from 1 species